UAGAACAAAAAUUGAAAUAAA
ensembl:piRNA 21ur-4158 ncRNA